rnacentral:rRNA from 1 species
GAUGAACGCUUUCUUCUUUCCUAAUACAUGCAAGUCGAGCGAACGGACGAGAAGCUUGCUUUUCUGAUGUUAGCGGCGGACGGGUGAGUAACACGUGGAUAACCUACCUAUAAGACUGGGAUAACUUCGGGAAACCGGAGCUAAUACCGGAUAAUAUUUUGAGCCGCAUGGUUCAAAAGUGAAAGACGGUCUUGCUGUCACUUAUAGAUGGAUCCGCGCUGCAUUAGCUAGUUGGUAAGGUAACGGCUUACCAAGGCAACGAUGCAUAGCCGACCUGAGAGGGUGAUCGGCCACACUGGAACUGAGACACGGUCCAGACUCCUACGGGAGGCAGCAGUAGGGAAUCUUCCGCAAUGGGCGAAAGCCUGACGGAGCAACGCCGCGUGAGUGAUGAAGGUCUUCGGAUCGUAAAAAUCUGGUAUUAGGGAAGAACAUAUGUGUAAGUAACUGUGCACAUCUUGACGGUACCUAAUCAGAAAGCAACGGCUAACUACGUG